GUUAAGGUGGCAGAAUCCGGUUAUUGCAAAAGGCCUAAGCCCUUUCUACAGAGGUUCAAGUCCUCUCCCUAACU
rnacentral:tRNA from 1 species